GAUGGCAGAGCUGGUAUCUAAGUUGGUGCUGUUUGUGUGUCUGGCUAAUAUUUGUUGGUCACCCAUUGCAGAAGCAGUUUUCAGGAAACUGUAACUGAUCAAAACAUUUCAGAGAACUGGAGGAUAGACAGCUCCGUGACAUCCAGGUAUGAGACAGGGAACUCCCCUGACUACCAGGGGCAGAGCUGCAUGCGGAGGCACAGCGUUCCCAUGAGGCCACAUUGCCUGGCAGAUUACCAAAGAUGACUUAGCCACAUUUGAUUAUAUAGUAUGUGUGGAUGAAAGCAAUCUGAGAGAUUUGAAUAGAAAAAUUAAUCAAGUUAAAAACUGCAAAGCUAAAAUUGAACUACUUGGGAGUUAUGAUCCACAAAAACAACUUAUUAUUAAAGAUCCUUAUUAUGGGAAUAACUCUGACUUCAAGAUGACAUACCAGUAAUGUGUCAGGUGCUGCAGAGCAUUCUUGGAGAAGGCCCACUGA